UUGUCUCAGAGGAAUCCCAGGUGCUUCCAGGAUUGGAUGGCCCCAGAACCCAGGACCCUGAACCCAGUCUGUAAGUGGAGGGAAGCCUUCAAGAGCAAGGGGGAAGCUGAGAGGAGAGGCGGUGACAGCUGAAGCUCGAGCAUUGGUUCGGAACUGCCAACUAGGCCCAGAGAGUGCUAGGGCUCUUGCUAAACCUAGAGGAAGUUACGAGGGGAGCUUUGCUUCUCUUGUUAUGAGACAAGACUACCUCACUGGGAGCACUAGAGGAAGUAGAUUAAAAAAAAGGAAGUGCCUAAGAGGACAGAGUGAGCAAGGCUCUGCACGACGGUUCCUGAAAAAACUGCGGCUGUGGAGUAAGGAGCAGGCCAAGUGACACUUGAGUUGGUUGACGUCAAGACUUAGUAAACAUGAACAAUGGUGCCUGUUUGUUUUCUAAUGAGAGAGAGAGAAGGAAAGAAUGUGGACUUGGAUGAGAAAGGAGGUGG